UCCCUGUUGUCUGACAGGCUCUGCAGCACCUGGACCCGGGCCUUUGAGGUGCUGAUGAGAGAGGGGCUGUGAUCGGGGAUGAGGGGGUGAGGGUGGGGGACGAUGCUCCCCGUCUGUCCUGCACUUCAUGGGAUCCAGCGUGAGGCCUCCAAGGCGUGAGAAUGAGCAGCUUCACAGCUCCACCACACAGACAACAGCUCAUUAUGGGAUGGAAGAUGCCUCGACCACGUCUCCUGGUGCCUGAACACCGUCCCCUGCUGAGCGCUCAUGCUGUCCCCAGCUCUGAUCCCACAGCCUGAGGCCGCCAACAGCCAGUGAGGCCAGAGAGGCCAAACACAUAUACAGUGACCAGUGCACAUGAAAGCACGCGCACGCACUCACACACUCAACCUACACGAGGAUCGACGCACAGUGACUUAUUAGCGAGGAUCCAAGUCGGCCAUUAGCAGCUUUGGGAAAGGUCGGAGAGGUCACCCAGCUGCACUCCCAGCCCUGACGGUGAUGACCGGGGGAUGUGAAGAUAUGGAUAAUUACCCUAGCACGCAUCAGAAAACAGGCUCAGAGCAGAAAGCAGGAAGUACCUCAAAGAAGGUAAAUGUCUUUUAACACAGGGGAGAUUUAUUUAUUUAUUUGAAUUAGGACAUUACAUAUGAAUCAAUGUGUCAGCAAACAGCGUCAACAUAAUCAUGCUGGAGUUAGCACAAUAGCUACAUUUCAUCCAUUGUCCUAGGGCAGGUAAGCGUGAUAUUACAUACAGUUGAACAAUGGUCACUCUACACCAGGGCAGCUGUGGCUACAAUAAUAGCUUACCACCACUAAGCGUGGAGUGAAAGAAUAAUGCCUUAAUUCUGUAAAGCGCUUUGAGUGUUCAUGAUAAAGCACUAUGUAAAAUCCAAUGCAUUAUUAUAAUUAUAAUGACAUUUAACAUACAGUUAAACAACAUGGCACAAUGAGACAAACAUUAAACUGCUGACAGCAGAAAACACGAUAUCACAUAUACUAUUUACAAUAAAUUAAAAACUAUAAAAAAAACCA
rnacentral:lncRNA from 1 species